UACGUAGGGGGCAAGCGUUGUCCGGAAUCAUUGGGCGUAAGAGCGUGUAGGCGGCCCGGUAAGUCCGCUGUGAAAGUCCAGGGCUCAACCCUGGGAUGCCGGUGGAUACUGUCGGGCUCGAGUCCGGAAGAGGAGUGGUGGAAUUCCUGGUGUAGCGGUGAAAUGCGCAGAUAUCAGGAGGAACACCAAUGGCGAAAGGCAGCACUCUGGGACG
rnacentral:rRNA from 1 species